AGCUCGUAGUUGAACCUUGGGCCUGGCUGGCCGGUCCGCCUCACCGCGUGCACUGGUUCGGCCGGGCCUUUCCCUCUGGGGAACCUCAUGCCCUUCACUGGGUGUGAUGGGGAACCAGGACUUUUACUGUGAAAAAAUUAGAGUGUUCAAAGCAGGCCUAUGCUCGAAUACAUUAGCAUGGAAUAAUAGAAUAGGACGUGUGGUUCUAUUUUGUUGGUUUCUAGGACCGCUGUAAUGAUUAAUAGGGAUAGUCGGGGGCGUCCGUAUUCAAUUGUCAGAGGUGAAAUUCUUGGAUUUAUUGAAGACGAACUACUGCGAAAGCAUUCGCCAAGGAUGUUUUCAUUAAUCAGUGAACGAAAGUUAGGGGAUCGAAGACGAUCAGAUACCGUCGUAGUCUUAACCAUAAACUAUGCCGACUAGGGAUCGGACGGUGGUUUUUUUAUGCCCCGUUCG
rnacentral:rRNA from 1 species